rnacentral:rRNA from 1 species
GAUGAACGCUGGCGGCGUGCCUAACACAUGCAAGUCGAGCGAACAGACGAGGAGUUUGCUCCUCUGACGUUAGCGGCGGACGGGUGAGUCACACGUGUAUAACCUACCUAUAAGACUGGGAUAACUACGGGAAACCGGAGCUAAUACCGGAUAAUAUAUUGAACCGCAUGGUUCAAUAGUGAAAGACGGUUUUGCUGUCACUAAUAGAUGGAUCCGCGCCGGAUUAGCUAGUUGGUAGGGUAACGGCUUACCAAGGCAACGAUGCGUAGCCGACCUGAGAGGGUGAUCGGCCACACUGGAACUGAGACACGGUCCAGACUCCUACGGGAGGCAGCAGUAGGGAAUCUUACGCAAUGGGCGAAAGCCUGAUGGAGCAACGCCGCGUGAGUGAUGAAGGUCUUCGGAUCGUAAAACUCUGUUAGUAGGGAGGAACAAAUGUGUAAGUAACCAUGCACGUCUUGACGGUACCUAGUCAGAAAGCCCCGGCUAACUACGUG